UGUUUUUAUUGAUAUGAAGAGCUUGCUCUGAUUUGAUUUUAUCUGACAAAGAGUGGCGAACGGGUGAGUAACACGUGGGUAACCUACCUCUUAGCAGGGGAUAACAUUUGGAAACAAGUGCUAAUACCGUAUAACACUAACAACCGCAUGGUUGUUGGUUGAAAGAUGGUUCUGCUAUCACUAAGAGAUGGACCCGCGGUGCAUUAGCUAGUUGGUAAGGUAAUGGCUUACCAAGGCGAUGAUGCGUAGCCGAGUUGAGAGACUGAUCGGCCACAAUGGGACUGAGACACGGCCCAUACUCCUACGGGAGGCAGCAGUAGGGAAUCUUCCACAAUGGGCGCAAGCCUGAUGGAGCAACGCCGCGUGUGUGAUGAAGGGUUUCGGCUCGUAAAACACUGUUAUAAGAGAAGAACGACAUUGAGAGUAACUGUUCAGUGUGUGACGGUAUCUUAUCAGAAAGGAACGGCUAAAUACGUGCCAGCAGCCGCGGUAAUACGUAUGUUCCAAGCGUUAUCCGGAUUUAUUGGGCGUAAAGCGAGCGCAGACGGUUAUUUAAGUCUGAAGUGAAAGCCCUCAGCUCAACUGAGGAAGGGCUUUGGAAACUGGAUAACUUGAGUGCAGUAGAGGAAAGUGGAACUCCAUGUGUAGCGGUGAAAUGCGUAGAUAUAUGGAAGAACACCGGUGGCGAAAGCGGCUUUCUGGACUGUAACUGACGUUGAGGCUCGAAAGUGUGGGUAGCAAACAGGAUUAGAUACC
rnacentral:rRNA from 1 species